AAUAAGUUCUGGGGAUCUAAUGUAUAGCACGGUGAUUAUAGUUAAUCAUACCAUAUUAUAUGCUUGAAAGUUACUAAGGGAGUAGAUCUUGAAUGUUCUCACCACACAUAAAAAAUUGGUAAUUAUGUGAAGAGAUAGAUGUG